rnacentral:rRNA from 1 species
UACGGAGGGUGCAAGCGUUAUCCGGAUUCACUGGGUUUAAAGGGUGCGUAGGAGGGCAGGUAAGUCAGUGGUGAAAUCUCCAAGCUUAACUUGGAGACUGCCGUUGAUACUAUCUGUCUUGAAUAUUGUGGAGGUGAGCGGAAUAUGUCAUGUAGCGGUGAAAUGCUUAGAUAUGACAUAGAACACCAAUUGCGAAGGCAGCUCACUACACAAUCAUUGACUCUGAGGCACGAAAGCGUGGGGAUCAAACAGG